CAAACGACUCUCGGCAACGGAUAUCUCGGCUCUCGCAUCGAUGAAGAACGUAGMGAAAUGCGAUACUUGGUGUGAAUAGMAGAAUCCCGUGAACCAUCGAGUUUUUGAACGCAAGUUGCGCCCGAAGCCAUUAGGCUGAGGGMACGUCUGCCUGGGCGUCACAC
rnacentral:rRNA from 1 species